GCGGCGGGGAGCGCCGGUGCACCCGGCGGGUCCCGGUGUCGUCCCCCGCAGCCCCGCCGGGCGGGACACAGCGGGGGUACCGGCGUAGCUCGGCAGCGGCCACCAGGUGCUGCCGACCCUCCCGCCGCGGGUUUCGUGUAUUGUCCCCCCCCCCCCCCCCCCGCCCACGGAGCGGAGCUUCCGGGCGCGCGUGUGCGCCAGCCUCCCUCCCGCACACCCACACACACGCGUGUGUGCGUCAGCCUUCCUCGCACACGCACGCACGGCGGCUCCCAUCCCCCACCCCCCCCCCGCCGCCGCCGUCGUACGCGCACUCCUCCACCUGGUGUGUCAGCCCGCGCCCACGCGGCACGGCGUGCGUGGCCGACCCCCACGCUCCCCCCCCCCCCCACACACUUCCCCCCACCUCACGCGCCAGCGUUUCGCUCCCCCGUCCCGAAACACUCGGGGAGUCGCUGCCCCUCCCUGGGGUCCCGGGUGCUACUCCUCCCCCCCCCCCCCCCCGCCAAGCAGCGGUUAUUUACGUGCUGCGAGGAAAUGCCACCGAGGGAGGGCGGCGACACUGUUACUCGGUUUUAAUUAAAGAAAUUAAUUUAUCCGGGCGUUUCGCGUUAGCGGUAAAAGUAUUGAGUCUCCAACAUGAAAGGAUCUCUGUAGCACCACACUGGAAUUACUUGACAAUAAAAGGAGCCCAGGGUGAUUAAUCCUGAUCCAAUUCUUUGCACUGCAGACUUCUACAUCUGGCCAUCCAUACUGCAUUUUUCUUCUCUAACUGAAAAAAAAUAUAGUUGGCUAUAUAAUCAUGAGGAAAAGAAACA